UUAACUUUUGUUAUUCUCUUUAUUUUUCUCCAGAAUAUUAAAAAUAAACAAAUUCAUUAGAUCAAAGGACAGUUAACUUAAUAACACUACAUGGAUUAUUUGAUGUCUAGACAUGUAUAAAUGAAGUCCCUAAUCAAAACAUUUGCUUCAAACUUUUAAUUACAAAUUUACAUUCGCUAAAAUGAAGAGCAAACAUAAAGGAAGGCAUCCUAGAUAGUGGUGUACACACCAGAAGUAGAAAAAAGGCUGACAACGCUGAAGUGACUGGUGAUCACAAAUACCCGACCUAGAUCUCAGCUAUCAAGGAUCAUACUCUUUAGUCACACGAGAUGUUGCAAAAGGAAAAGAUAAUCAACUAAAACAUAAAAUGCCAGAUAGAAAAUACAUAUGUACUCGACUUCAAUUUAUACCAUCUAAUUAGUAAUUAAAAUCUAAAAAAAAAAUCUAGCCUUAGCUUAAAUAAUUCUAUCAUCUUAACCAAACAAAAUUUGAAAAUCUGAAUCCACAAGGGAAUGUUCAACAGACAAAAUAAGCAUAAAAAAAUAAAAAAUAAAACAACAGGAGUGUAAAACCAAGAUAAAAAUGAAACAUGGGCCAGGUGAUCAAAUAGUUUGAAGCUGAGGAUUUUUAAGUCAAUUUUACAUCCAAAUAUCAAUGAAAAACCGCUGCACACAGAUACAAGACAACAAACAUUCGUAUCUUAUUCAUACACUUUUAAAGGGAAAAAAAGAAAUUAAAAUUAAAUUAUAAAUAAAUAUUCAUAUGACAAUUUGGGUCAAAACCAUUGUAUCAUAUUUAGUUCUCACAAAAAAAAAAAAAAG